AUUGAACGCUGGCGGCAUGCCUUACACAUGCAAGUCGAACGGCAGCACGGGAGCAAUCCUGGUGGCGAGUGGCGAACGGGUGAGUAAUAUAUCGGAACGUGCCCAGUAGUGGGGGAUAGCCCGGCGAAAGCCGGAUUAAUACCGCAUACGACCUGAGGGUGAAAGCGGGGGAUCGCAAGACCUCGCGCUAUUGGAGCGGCCGAUGUCGGAUUAGCUAGUUGGUGGGGUAAAGGCUCACCAAGGCAACGAUCCGUAGCUGGUCUGAGAGGACGACCAGCCACACUGGGACUGAGACACGGCCCAGACUCCUACGGGAGGCAGCAGUGGGGAAUUUUGGACAAUGGGCGCAAGCCUGACCCAGCCAUGCCGCGUGCGGGAAGAAGGCCUUCGGGUUGUAAACCGCUUUUGUCAGGGAAGAAACGCUCCGGGCUAAUACCCCGGGGUAAUGACGGUACCUGAAGAAUAAGCACCGGCUAACUACGUGCCAGCCGCCGCGGUAAAAC
rnacentral:rRNA from 1 species